rnacentral:lncRNA from 1 species
AUGCAGGAGCCAGAGACAGAGGGACGGAGACAGAGGCUCAGAGAAGUAAUUCGGGAAGAGAGAGAAGAACGGAACCAGAGACUUAAAAGGAGAAAGGAAAGGAACAGGAGGCGCCCAUUGCCGGAGAUGGAUAGACGACGGACCCAAGGAGGUGGAGGUCCGGCGUUCUUCCCAGCCUGGCAGGAGCCGUCCCCUCACUUUGAAUUGGACCAGAGGGGUCCAGCCUGUCAGGCCUCUGGGGGAAGAGGUGUCCCUGCGCUACUGGAGAAUCCUCCCAGGGGCUCAGCUGGGAAGCACCUGUCUGUCAACCAGAGGAUUUACUCCAAACUUCAAGUCCGGCUCUUUAGACAGAAGACUGUCUACUCCGCAGGUAUGGAGCCCAGGCCCCUGAGGCAGGAAGAUGCAAAAACUGAGGCACUGAAAGCUGGAAAGGGAAAGACACUGGACUCGAGUGCUGAUUUUCUGACUCCAUUCCUUACAAGCUGCUUCCUCAACACCAAACUUGGCAGAUGUGGCCCUUGCCUUGCAGGAGUAUCUUGCACACCUCUAAGGCUCCCCCUCUCAGCUUCUGAUUGAAAAGAAGUUGUUGGUCCCAUCACCCCUGGGCACCCAGCUAGGGCCUCAGGCCUCUCUCCAACCAACUCUCUCCCAAAGGAGGGCCAGAGAUGCUCAGGUCCCACCAUCCUGCACGGUUUGCCCUUGACGGGGGCGGAUCUCCAAUGCGAGGUCUCCUCUCAGGACGCCAGACCUGAGGAAAAGGUAAGGCAGAGGGGGUGCCACGGGUGAGAAGGUCUAGAGAGGACAGACCCCCAUGGCUCUGCCAUUCCCUGACAGCUCCUGGAGGGCAGCGAGCUCACUUCCCACCAGUAGGCAAGUAGAGCAGCUUGGCUUAGGCCCCGGGGCAGCAGGCAGGGCCCAGCCUCCUUGUUCUUGGCGUCUACCCUUAGCUCUCCUCAGCGCCAGGUGGGUCCGUGUUGGAUCCCAGAAAUUUUCCGGCAGAGGGCACCCUGGUAGGCAGGCCUUGCACGAGGUGCGGGGGAGGGAGAGGGAGCGGAGCGUGCUAGCCCGCCAGGCCAGGCCUCUGAGGACAACCACUGCCUUCUAGGAACCACCCCACUUCCUGCAACAACCUGUGAGGCUCGCAGGCUCCCUUCCUGAUCUGCUGGCAGGACCUCCGCGGGCGUGCGGGCUCUGCCACUCCGCCCCGCAGGAAAGCCGAGAAUGAGGCAAGCUUUCUGGCUGGGCUGGGCCGGGAGAGCCCACAGUGGCCAGAUCUACCCAGACUUCUUGCCUCAAUUCCUCACCCCCCGGGAGCAUAGAUUUAGCCUCAGAGGAAGGGCGGAUGGAGAGCUCUAUGCCCCGGAACCCUGAACUCCCAGAGGGGCUCAAUCCUGGGCUGCAGCGGAGGAGGCCGAGUUGAAGGUCUCGCCGUCGCCCGUAGGAGCUCAGGCCACCUUGGCACGCACAGGUCUCGUAAUUUCGGGGGCGCUCAGGGCACAUCGGAAGCUGCGGGUGCCCAAUGAGCCGCCGGUCUGUUCUGGGAAUGGAAAACCUGGCCGGCUCAGACCCGGUCCCAGACAAGAGGGCCUCGCGGCUCAGCCUCUGCCUCCGCUGAGCGUCGUGGAUCCGGGGAGUGUCCCCGAAUAAAUGAGUUGAGCUGGAGUUCGGGUUUGAAAUU